rnacentral:rRNA from 1 species
GAUGAACGCUGGCGGCGUGCCUAAUACAUGCAAGUCGAGCGAACGGACGAGAAGCUUGCUUCUCUGAUGUUAGCGGCGGACGGGUGAGUAACACGUGGAUAACCUACCUAUAAUACUGGGAUAACUUCGGGAAACCGUAGCUAAUACCGGAUAAUAUUUUGAACCGCAUGGUUCAAAAGUGAAAGACGGUCUUGCUGUCACUUAUAGAUGGAUCCGCGCUGCAUUAGCUAGUUGGUAAGGUAACGGCUUACCAAGGCAACGAUGCAUAGCCGACCUGAGAGGGUGAUCGGCCACACUGGAACUGAGACACGGUCCAGACUCCUACGGGAGGCAGCAGUAGGGAAUCUUACGCAAUGGGCGAAAGCCUGACGGAGCAACGCCGCGUGAGUGAUGAAGGUCUUCGGAUCGUAAAACUCUGUUAUUAGGGAAGAACAUAUGUGUAAGUAACUGUGCACAUCUUGACGGUACCUAAUCAGAAAGCCACGGCUAACUACGUG